UACGUAGGGGGCUAGCGUUGCUCGGAAUUACUGGGCGUAAAGGGCGCGUAGGCGGGUCGUUUAGUUAGAGGUGAAAGCCCAGGGCUCAACCCUGGAAUUGCCUUUAAUACUGGCGGACUUGAGUAUGGCAGAGGUGUGUGGAACUCCGAGUGUAGAGGUGAAAUUCGUAGAUAUUCGGAAGAACACCAGUGGCGAAGGCGACACACUGGGCCAUUACUGACGCUGAGGCGCGAAAGCGUGGGGAGCAAACAGG
rnacentral:rRNA from 1 species